rnacentral:rRNA from 1 species
CCUACGGGUGGCUGCAGUGGGGAAUAUUGGACAAUGGGGGGAACCCUGAUCCAGCCAUGCCGCGUGUGUGAAGAAGGCCCUCGGGUUGUAAAGCACUUUCAGUGAGGAAGAACGCCUGGUGGUUAAUACCCAUCAGGAAAGACAUCACUCACAGAAGAAGCACCGGCUAACUCCGUGCCAGCAGCCGCGGUAAUACGGAGGGUGCGAGCGUUAAUCGGAAUUACUGGGCGUAAAGCGCGCGUAGGUGGCUUGAUAAGCCGGUUGUGAAAGCCCCGGGCUCAACCUGGGAACGGCAUCCGGAACUGUCAAGCUUGCGUGCAGGAGAGGAAGGUAGAAUUCCCGGUGUAGCGGUGAAAUGCGUAGAGAUCGGGAGGAAUACCAGUGGCGAAGGCGGCCUUCUGGACUGACACUGACACUGAGGUGCGAAAGCGUGGGUAGCAAACAGGAUUAUAUACCCUGGUAGUC